GGGGUUGUGGCUCAGUGGUAGAGCACUUGCCUAGCAUGCAUGAGGCACUGGGUUCAAACCCCAGCACCA
rnacentral:tRNA from 1 species